GCCUCUUUAGCUCAGUAGGUAGAGCAUUCGCUUUGUAAGCGAAAGGCCAUCGGUUCGAUCCCGGUAGGAGGCU